UACGGGGGGUGCAAGCGUUGUUCGGAAUUAUUGGGCGUAAAGCGCGCGCAGGCGGCUUGAGGAGUCCAUGGGUGAAAGGCCGGAGCUCAACUCCGCGUAGGCCCAGGAUACUCUCAGGCUGGAGACACGUAGGGGCAAGCGGAAUUCCGGGUGUAGCGGUGGAAUGCGUAGAUAUCCGGAAGAACACCGGAGGCGAAGGCGGCUUGCUGGGCGUGAUCUGACGCUGAGGCGCGAAAGCGUGGGGAGCAAACAGG
rnacentral:rRNA from 1 species